CCUCUCUCCACGUCCACGGCGCCGAGUCUCGCCACGGUGGCGCAGGCGCCAGGGAGGUUCCCCGGCUUUGCCGCGCGGAGGAAGUCCCGGUUACGCAGAGCGCGCUGGGGCAGGGCUGACCUUCCCCUUUCUCUACUUCACUGGCCUCCUCCAGACGUGGUGGUUGCGCCCUUUCGGCCUCGCUUUCCGUUUUUUGGCUUCAUCCCCUAGAUCUGCAAACAGUUCCUCGUGUUUCUUCCGUUAGCCGGGAAACGCGAACUGCAGCGUUUGGGACCCGGGUUUGCGCGUGUGGAAAGCAAAAGGGGUUACUCUGCUGGAGUUCGACAUUGCAAAUAAAGGUCUUUAUCCCCGGCGGUUCUACAAAAUUAGUUCUGCAGGGAUUCUGGUUGAAAGAAGCGUUAAAGUGGGCCUUGUAGGAGUCAGCAAUAAUCCAAUUUUACAUGGGUGCAGGUGGCUGCCUGUGUCUAGCGCUUUCACACAUCUCAUAUCUUCAUCCACGCCGUGGGUAUUUUUUUUCCACGGUGUGUUUCUGUUGCUGCCUCCAGUAUAUUGCUUAAUCAUCCUACCUGGUAAUUAUUUAUGCAUUUUUCUCCUACUCUCGACUCAGCUCCUAGGGAAUAAAAACACAUUAACUUAUCUUUGUGCCCACAGCACCCACCAAGUAUUUCCAUCACGUAAUACUGCCUCUAGAAAGGCAGGAGGAGAAGCAGUCACGCUAAGGAUCUAGGCAAGCCAGAUCUUUUGUCCGGUUUUAGGAGGUGGCCAGCCCUUACUUAUUCCACAAGUGUUUUUCCAGAAACUCAGACUUGAUAUUGCCUCAAGUCCAAGGCAGUGUGCUUCCCCCACUCACAUAUCACUAAUAGUAGCUAACAUUUGUUCAGAUCCCUGUAUGUACUCUGCCACUGUUUUAAAUGUUACACCCGGGUUACCUCAUUUAAUCCUUACAACUGCCCUGUGAGGUAGGUACUAUUAUUAUCUCUACUUUGUAGAUGGGAUUCACCGAGGCACAGACGGUUAAAAAACCUAGCCCAAAUAACACAAAUAAACAGCAGAGCAUGCAGUGCUAGAGUCUGCAUUCUUAACAAUUGCUAUAUUCUCCCUCUCCGUGAAUGUGGGCUGAGAUGCUGAAACAGGCAUGUGCUGUGGGGGAGAAAAAGCUUUGUCCAACCAAGUGCUUUCUAAUGUCCAGAUGACAUAGAGCUAGGAUUUCCUAAUGUCUUUUUUCCCCUAUUUUUCUCUCCAUUUCAGGGUUGAGUUUGUGCAUCGAUUGUGAACACAACAGGCAGCAGGCUAUAAUGGUGGUCCUGGCUGGAGUAGUUUUCACAGACUUCAGUAAUCUGUGGAGAUGAACGGGCAGUUCUCUGUAGUUUUCACAGAUCACUGCCAGUUCGUUUUGAGGCCUUCAGGAGUGAAGACCUGGCUCAUCAUCACUCUUUGUUGUUUUGUUAAAUUUAUUUACACCCUACUUUAUUCCAGAGGAAAGGAUUUAACGUAGUUUACAUAAAUGUGUACAUCAGGGUAAAUUAAAAAUAAGUACAGAGAAAAAUAGGACAAAAGAAAACCGUGAGUGUGAAAGAUAAGAUUAAGCCAGCAGUUUUGUAUGCAAAAUGCAUGGUGUAAGGUCCUAUUGGUUUGCUGGAGGUAGGCCACACAUAUGACUCUCAGUUUUCUAGCAACCAAGAAAAAGAUCAGUUGCAAUCGGAGUAGGUGUUUUGGCUAAGCUGGAACUAGGACUUGAAUAUAGCAGCUUGUAGAGUUAUACCACUUGCCCAAAUCUCUUCCAUGAGCCUCUUUAAGUGUAACAGAAUGCCUGGGAGCACGUAAAUGCUCCUACUUAGAUGCCUACUUAGCCUCUAAUUUUCAUGGGGCCCAUGAAUCCCAUGAAAAAGAACUUUGAACCCUGUCCACAAUUAGAGUUCAGGUAUACGCAGACAUGUUUAAAGACAAGGGACACCCAAAGGAAAGAUUGCACAGAGAGAAAGUGAGCAUCCGAGAGAAAAUCACCACAAGUGAGGCAGAGGGAGGCCGGUCUCAGCAGAGUUUUGGAGGUCGUGAGAAGAAGAGGUAGGAGAUAGGAGAGUGGUUCCGAGUACUUGCCUGCUGAUGUUACCUUCUCCACCCCCACCAGGUUUUCCAGUGCCUGGAGUCUUGGGCAGGAAUGGGCCACUGUAAGAAAGAGCUUUAUCACUAGGGCCUCAGCCAACUUUUCUGUGGGAUAUCCCUCCAAAAUAAUUAAGAGUUCAGAAUGCUUCAGAUUUUGAAGUGAAACUGGUACAUAUAUUAAGUGUUACUUAAUAACCCGAUAGUUUCUAGGGCAGCUCACCAUAAUCCCAAGUAUUAGCCACCACCCUCACCCCCUUCAGAGUAAAAUGUGUUUCCUGAAGGAAGUUGGGAAAAUGAAGAAAAAAAAUACAAAAAUCACCUAUAAUCUUACCAGUCAUAGAUGGCAGUUUUCCUGUCUUAUUUCUGAAUAAUGGUUGUUAAACAUUUGCCAGCACACCAUAAGGCUUAGGGAGGCAUCUGGGUCAUGCAUGUUAAUAUCCUUGGGUAAUUCCAGAAAUCUCUAUGAAGGGAAACUCCUGUUAUUUAUCUAGACUUCCUGAUUGCAAGGGGUUUGGGCAUCAUGAUUUAGGGGUCUUAAUAAAAUUAUUAUUUUAUUUUUACUAAUAGAUAAUGUCUGUGCCUAUCAGAUAAAGGCAAACCAGUGCUCAGAGGAACCCAACCAUCUCUGAAUUGAGACCAGAGAGCUGUCUCUAUGGAUAGUCCUUAGAGAAGGCAUUUCGGAACACAGUAAACAGCAGCCUGGUGACUCCGAUUACAGGGCCAGUUGCCUUUGUUACAAUAAAAGCAAGUCAUCUACACAGCAGGAAAAUUUUGGGUGAGGAGGAGCAGAAUAUGGGUGGUUCUGGCAGCGAGACAGUCUUCAGGAAUGAGAAGGAGAGGUCAUCCCCAGCUACCUCCAGGAGAAAGGUAGGGAAUGCCUUCCCUGCACAUCUGAGGGGCUUCUUGGCCAGACAGACAUUCACAAUAAGCAACUCUCUUUUGUCCACAUUCCUUUUUUAAAAAUUUUUAUUUUCGGUUUGGUGGUACAUGUGAGGGUUUGUUACAUAGAUAAACACAUGUCAUCAGGGUUUGUUGUACAUAUAUUACAUCACCCAGG
rnacentral:lncRNA from 1 species